GGGUGGCUAAGUUUUCUGGAGCGCAUUCUUUCUUCAUAUGGCUUGCUUGGCUAAAUCGUCUAAAUAUGAAUCAAGUACAAAUGUAGUUAACGCCUCUUGUUAUUGUUGGGAUUUUCACCUUGAAUCUAUCAAUCAUUUUCUUCGAGGGUGUUCCACGAAAAACGAAAUUUGGACUUCGCUACAAAUUUAAUCUCAAGUACCGCCUGACUUUUUCAAUUCAUAUUUUGAAACAUGGCUUAUGGAAAACUUGAAGUAAACUAUUAUCUUGAAUUUUCAAAUUCCAUGGGGGGAGGUUAUUUUUUCUUCCUUGGAAAUGUCGCAAAAAAUGUGUUUUUCAGGGCCAAUUGAUGUCGACGACACAUGCUCUGGCUCAUGCAAAAAGAUUUCCUCUGGAUAUUUGCAAAGCUGUGAAUACAGCAGUGGCUAGUAUUGCAAGGGGUCCUAGAAUCGUUGGAUGGAAGAAACCUCUGAUGGUGAGCGACGACCAACGACUGGCAUGGCCUCCGCAGGUGGUGUUCUGCGAAAUGAAAGGCUUUUUAUUGCUGUCGCUGUUCAACGGGCAGAAGCCCAGAACUCAGCUUUACUGGGGGUUCCUUCUUUUGGGUCUUUACAUCACAUCGCAUGUGGGUUGGUAGGAAUUUGAAAAUUUUAGUUACAAUUUGAGCCUUUGUGUGCAAGUUAACCUAGCUUGGAUCAUAGGCCUUACUCGUUUCAGCAUGGAAUCAAAAUGCCAAAGCAUUUCAUUAUCACCAAUGUACUACUGUCUUUAACAACGUUGUCGGGUCCCCAAGUA